UAGACUUAGGAGCUGGCAUCAGGCACAGAUUUCUAGCCCACAACGCCUAGUUUCACCACACCCCUAAGGGUACUCAGCAGUGAUAAAUAUUGACCAUAAGCGUCAGCUUGACUCAGUCAGAGGAAAUAAGAGCCGGCCAAUCUGGUGCCAGCCGCCGCGGCUACACCAGUAGGCUCAAGUUGACAAUCACCGGCGUUAAGCGUGAUUAAAGAAAACUUGAUUAGGGAUAAAUUUAAAUUAUAGUAGUAAUAAGCUUAUUAUUUAGAAAAACAAAACGAAAGUUACUCUAACACACUUGAAUACACGACAGCUAGAAAACAAACUGGGAUUAGAUACCCCACUAUGUCUUGCCGUAAACUAUAUACCUACAACAACCACGCCAGGGUCUUACGAGCUUAAGCUUAAAACCCAAAGGACUUGACGGUGUCCCACCCACCUAGAGGAGCCUGUUCUAUAAUCGACACUCCCCGCUUCACCUCACCAUUUUUAGCCUCUCAGCCUGUAUACCUCCGUCGCAAGCUUACCCUAUGAACGUAUUAGUAAGCCCAAAGGUUCACCCACCAGCACGUCAGGUCAAGGUGCAGCUCAUAAAAUGGAAGCAAUG
rnacentral:rRNA from 1 species